CCUACGGGGGGCUGCAGUCGAGAAUCUUUCGCAAUGGGCGCAAGCCUGACGAAGCGACGCCGUGUGAGCGAAGAAGGCCUUCGGGUUGUAAAGCUCUUUCGCUAGGGAACAAGAGAGGGGUGCUAACAACAUCCUGAUUUGAGGGUACUUGGUAAAGAAGCACCGGCUAACUCCGUGCCAGCAGCUGCGGUAAUACGGAGGGUGCAAGCAUUGAUCAAAGUGACCGGGCGUGGCUGGCGCGUUCGCGGCUGAAAUUCCACGGCUCAACCGUGGAGCUGCAUGUGAAACUGUUCGGCUAGAGCGUAGUUAGGGAAAACGGAAUUCCACAUGUAGCGGUGAAAUGCGUAGAUAUGUGGAGGAACACCGGUGGUGAAGACGGUUUUCUGGGCUAUAGCUGACGCUGAGGCGCGAAAGCUAGGGGAGCAAACAGGAUUAGAUACCCCGGUAGUC
rnacentral:rRNA from 1 species